GAGGCGAUGAAGGACGUGCUAAUCUGCGAUAAGCGUCGGUAAGGUGAUAUGAACCGUUAUAACCGGCGAUUUCCGAAUGGGGAAACCCAGUGUGUUUCGACACACUAUCAUUAACUGAAUCCAUAGGUUAAUGAGGCGAACCGGGGGAACUGAAACAUCUAAGUACCCCGAGGAAAAGAAAUCAACCGAGAUUCCCCCAGUAGCGGCGAGCGAACGGGGAGCAGCCCAGAGCCUGAAUCAGUGUGUGUGUUAGUGGAAGCGUCUGGAAAGGCGCGCGAUACAGGGUGACAGCCCCGUACACAAAAAUGCACAUACUGUGAGCUCGAUGAGUAGGGCGGGACACGUGGUAUCCUGUCUGAAUAUGGGGGGACCAUCCUCCAAGGCUAAAUACUCCUGACUGACCGAUAGUGAACCAGUACCGUGAGGGAAAGGCGAAAAGAACCCCGGCGAGGGGAGUGAAAAAGAACCUGAAACCGUGUACGUACAAGCAGUGGGAGCACGCUUAGGCGUGUGACUGCGUACCUUUUGUAUAAUGGGUCAGCGACUUAUAUUCUGUAGCAAGGUUAACCGAAUAGGGGAGCCGAAGGGAAACCGAGUCUUAACUGGGCGUUAAGUUGCAGGGUAUAGACCCGAAACCCGGUGAUCUAGCCAUGGGCAGGUUGAAGGUUGGGUAACACUAACUGGAGGACCGAACCGACUAAUGUUGAAAAAUUAGCGGAUGACUUGUGGCUGGGGGUGAAAGGCCAAUCAAACCGGGAGAUAGCUGGUUCUCCCCGAAAGCUAUUUAGGUAGCGCCUCGUGAAUUCAUCUCCGGGGGUAGAGCACUGUUUCGGCAAGGGGGUCAUCCCGACUUACCAACCCGAUGCAAACUGCGAAUACCGGAGAAUGUUAUCACGGGAGACACACGGCGGGUGCUAACGUCCGUCGUGAAGAGGGAAACAACCCAGACCGCCAGCUAAGGUCCCAAAGUCAUGGUUAAGUGGGAAACGAUGUGGGAAGGCCCAGACAGCCAGGAUGUUGGCUUAGAAGCAGCCAUCAUUUAAAGAAAGCGUAAUAGCUCACUGGUCGAGUCGGCCUGCGCGGAAGAUGUAACGGGGCUAAACCAUG
rnacentral:rRNA from 1 species